UCCUAGGCGAGCUCCGGAUCUGGAGACGCGGGAGUCACGCUGACUCGCGCCCCUGGAAUGAAUUCUUGCGUGUCAUUUGUACUGGCCUGAUGGAGUGACUGAUGCGGCUGGAACCGAGAUAGAGAUUACUCACAAAAGCUUAACGAGACAUUAGACAAGAUCAGCCAUCAUUUCCAGGGAAUUUUCCUGCUGACAAACUUUGCAAUUGAGGGAAGAAAACUGAUACACGUGCAGAGUACCGCACACAAGAUGGCAGUGACAGAUAUGGACUUGAAUCCAGACCACUUGACUGCAACGCACAGACCCACAGCUCCUGGGCUCCCCUUGCAUUUUAACACAAACGUGGAUAAAUGACUCGUGCGCUCGACUCGUAGUCUAGUUUCUCUGCUUCCAAGGCACUGUCUACAAAAAUGGCUCUGAUUGGGCCACACUCUUCUUUACCCAGAUUCACAGAGAUCCCACCUGGACCCAAGUUGAGUUCGCCAUUUCACUUCCUUCAUUUGUGCCCCCAUGUUCAUUUCCUUCAGAAUCGCUCAUUAUCAGACUUACCACUUUAUUUUGGGGCUUAUGCCAAGUGCAAUCUAUGAGGUUCAAUUAUUUAACGUUUCUCUUGUAGGAAAAAAUGUUUCCUUUCAAAUGCUCAAAAAAAAAAAAAAAAGUGCUGGCUGUUUGUGUGGUCAUCCAAGGAAUGCUCUCUCAAAUUUCUCCUGUCAAGAGAAAGGUGAGGUGCAAACUCAAAUAAUUACAGAAGGAAGGGAAGUAACUAGACGUCAGUGGAAUGAAUGAAAGAGUGCGUGUUGGAUGACAUUCUCAUCUGAUGACCAUAUAAACUUAUCCACAAGACAGGUCAGCACUUGGCCACCAGUUGAGGGAGUGAAGAAAGGGCUUGGUUUUGUUCUUCCAGAAGUGUAGAUUAUCUCCACUUGAAUUUAAGUGUGAUUUAAAGAAAAAAAAAAAAUGCUGAAG